rnacentral:rRNA from 1 species
GACGAACGCUGGCGGUGUGCUUAACACAUGCAAGUCGAACGGUAAGGCCCUUUCGGGGGUCCACGAGUGGCGGACGGGUGCGUAACACGUGAGUAACCUGCCCUCAUCUCUGGGAUAACAGUCGGAAACGGUUGCUAAUACUGGAUAUGAGCUUGCAAGGCAUCUUGUGGGUUGGAAAGAUUUUUUUGGUUGGGGAUGGACUCGCGGCCUAUCAGCUUGUUGGUGAGGUAGUGGCUCACCAAGGCUUCGACGGGUAGCCGGCCUGAGAGGGCGACCGGCCACAUUGGGACUGAGAGACGGCCCAAACUCCGACGGGAGGCAGCAGUGGGGAAUAUUGCACGAUGGACGGAAGUCUGAUGCAGCAACGCCGCGUGCGGGAUGACGGCCUUCGGGUUGUAAACCGCUUUCAAUUGUGACGAAGCUUUUUGUGACGGUAGCAGUAGAAGAAGCACCGGCUAACUACGUG